UCCUGUUCAACAAAAGCUAGAGUUUGAAUCAGUUCAAAGGUUGAGACUCACUCUCCCUUCAAAACUCAACAUGACUAGUGCUAUUAUUACAUUGAUUCUGUUCCUGCGCUGCAGUCAAGCUGCUGUGGGUGGAGAUGGUGUUUUUCAAGAGCCUAAAAUUCUCUUGGAACCAAAGAGUGGUUCUGCUUCUUUGAACUGCAAUCACAAUAAGGGAGGUUUAUACUUCCAGAUGUACUGGUACCGACAGCGUCCAGGAGAGACUAUGAGGCUCAUUGUAUUCACUAUGACUGGUGGUAAUCCAGAAUUUGGAGAUGUUGAUGUGAAGAGAUUUGAAGCUCACAAAAGUGUUGCUGAAAGUGGAUCGUUGAAAGUGAAAGAUCUCGAGCCAGGCGACAGUGGCAUAUAUUUCUGUGCCGUGAGUCAACACAGUGUGUCAAAGGCUGGAGAAUGCUGUACAAAAACAUUCGGUGCAGAAAAAGACAAUGACAGCAUUAGUCAACAGGUGGCAGUCUGGUAUAACAAUAAGCAACAUUUCAAAACAGCUGAAACAAAACAUUUAGAAGUAUCAUAGGUACAAGUUACAGUCUAUUGACACCAUCUAUGGCAAUUUGUCCAUUUUCACAGAAAAUAACUUCAACUUAAUUUGUAAAAUUAUUUGUUUGUAGAAUAGUAAAAAUAGAUGUCUAUAGGUCAACUAUUUUAAUUAAAAUGCAGAGUUGGAGUGUCAGCUCAGUUUUCCCAUGAACCUUAUGAAUGAACAUUAUUGGGGCAUUUUGUUGUAAACAAACGAUUAUAUCUUUAUUCUAAAGUCAGAUGGAACCAAAUUUCGUUUAACCUCCAG